GUGGGGAAUUUUGGACAAUGGGGGCAACCCUGAUCCAGCCAUUCCGCGUGAGUGAAGAAGGCCUUCGGGUUGUAAAGCUCUUUCGGCAGGAACGAAACGGCGGGCUCUAACAUAGCCUGUCAAUGACGGUACCUGAAGAAGAAGCACCGGCUAACUACGUGCCAGCAGCCGCGGUAAUACGUAGGGUGCGAGCGUUAAUCGGAAUUACUGGGCGUAAAGCGUGCGCAGGCGGCUUUGUAAGACAGGUGUGAAAUCCCCGGGCUUAACCUGGGAACUGCGCUUGUGACUGCAAGGCUCGAGUGCGGCAGAGGGGGGUGGAAUUCCACGUGUAGCAGUGAAAUGCGUAGAGAUGUGGAGGAACACCGAUGGCGAAGGCAGCCCCCUGGGUCGACACUGACGCUCAUGCACGAAAGCGUGGGUAGCAAACAGGAUUAGAAACCCCAGUAGUCC
rnacentral:rRNA from 1 species